GUGCCAGCAGCCGCGGUGAUACGUAGGGUGCGAGCGUUGUCCGGAUUUAUUGGGCGUAAAGAGCUUGUAGGCGGUUUGUUGCGUCGGAAGUGAAAACUCAGGGCUUAACUCUGAGCCUGCUUUCGAUACGGGCAGACUUGAGGAAGGUAGGGGAGAAUGGAAUUCCUGGUGAAGCGGUGGAAUGCGUAGAUAUCAGGAGGAACACCGGUGGCGAAGGCGGUUCUCUGGACCUUUCCUGACGCUGAGAAGCGAAAGCGUGGGGAGCAAACAGGCUUAGAUACCCUGGUAGUCC
rnacentral:rRNA from 1 species